CCUACGGGUGGCAGCAGUAGGGAAUCUUUCACAAUGGGCGAAACCCUGAUGGAGCAACGCCGCGUGCAGGAUGAAGGAUUUCGGUUCGUAAACUGCUUUUAUAAGCGAGAAAUAUGAUGGUACCUUAUGAAUAAGGAUCGGCUAACUACGUGCCAGCAGCCGCGGUCAUACGUAGGAUCCGAGCAUUAUCCGGAGUGACUGGGUGUAAAGAGUUGCGUAGGUGGCAUAAUAAGUAGCUAGUGAAAUCUGGUGGUUCAACCAUUCAGACUAUUAGCUAAACUGUUAAGCUCGAGACCGUUAGGGGUAACUGGAAUUUCUAGUGUAGGAGUGAAAUCCGUAGAUAUUAGAAGGAACACCAAUAGCGUAGGCAGGUUACUGGGACGGUUCUGACACUAAGGCACGAAAGCGUAGGGAGCAAACGGGAUUAGAUACCCCAGUAGUC
rnacentral:rRNA from 1 species